UUCAUUUAUAAAAGGGGGAAGCUCAUCAAUGUCUUACUCUGUUCGUUCGCUCUACUUUCUACUAACACAGAGAGAGAGAGAGAGAGAGAAAGAUUGGCUCUAAGGAAAACCUUAUUUGAAUUUCUAUAAUCACUUUUCAUUUGCUUUUGUUUGUAUAUUUAUGUGCCAAUUUCAAACAUUUUCUCCAAAAAAAAGAAGAAAAAAAAAAAAACGAAGGUAUUUGGGUUUUUCUUUGAGGAACGAACGGAGAUUGAUCUAGUGGGUUUUAGGGUUGUUUGUUUGUUGGGAAUCUGAAAAAACUUGGACAUGAGGUUGAAUGGUGAAAUCCCAGUUGGAAGAGGGGAAGAGGAUGGUAUGGACGGUGAAAUGAAUUCUCUGAACUAUUCGAUUGGCGGAGUUGGGCAGAAGCUCACCGUCGGCUAUGCCUUAACCUCCAAGAAGAAAAGAAGUUUCUUGCAGCCCAAAUUUCUAAGCUUGGCUCGGAGUAAGGGGAUAUGCUUUAUUGCAAUUGAUUUAAAUAGGCCACUGGCAGAUCAAGGUCCCUUUGACAUUGUUUUGCACAAGUUGUUGAGAAAGGAAUGGUGGGAUAUUAUUGAGGAUUACAGACAAAAGCAUCCGGAAGUAACUGUUCUUGAUCCUCCCAAUGCAAUACAACACCUAAACAACCGGCAAUCCAUGCUUCAAGAUGUGGCAGAUCUAAACUUGUCCGACUACCAUGGCAAGGUUGGUGUUCCAAGGCAAUUGGUUGUAAAAAAGGAUCCAUCAUCUAUACCUUAUGAAGUUACUAAAGCUGGGCUAAAAUUACCAUUGGUUGCAAAACCACUACUUGUGGAUGGAAGUGCCAAGUCACAUGAAUUAUUUCUUGCUUACGAUGAGUUCUCCCUCUCAGAACUUGAACCUCCCUUAGUCUUACAAGAGUUUGUAAAUCAUGUCCUCCUUUGCCUCAUUGUAGGUGGUAUUCUUUUUAAAAUAUUUAUUGUUGGGGAAACCAUCACGGUUGUGAGGCGUUUUUCUCUACCUGAUGUCACUAACCAUGAACUAGCAAAGGUUGAUGGUGUGUUUCGUUUCCCAAGGGUUUCAUGUGCUGCAGCUACGGCAGAUGAUGCAGAACUGGACCCUAGUAUUGCUGAACUUCCUCCGCGGCCAUUGCUGGAGAGGCUUGUGAGGGAGCUUCGUCUCCGACUAGGCAUCCAGCUGUUCAAUAUAGAUAUGAUCAGAGAAAUUGGAAGCAGAGAUGUUUUUCAUGUUAUUGAUAUCAACUACUUUCCUGGUCGGUGUGAGGGAUUGGCCAUCUUGUAUGAAUUAUCCUUGUAUUCCGUCUUGCAUAUAGAAGUAAAGAUCAAUUUUCCUAGUCUCUUUUAUUUUCUUCUAGAUGAACUUUGCAGUCACUCGAGGAAACAUGCAUAAGAAGCCUAGAAUAGUUACAGAAAAUGGAAGUAUUAUCCUCAUCUCUCCCUCCCUCUCCCAGUAAAUAGGGUGUAUAAGAAGCUAAGGAUAAUGGAAUUGAACAGCCUUUUUCAUGUUAUGGGAAAAUGCCAGAUUACGAACAUAUAUUUACGGAUUUCUUACUAAGCCUAGUGCAGAACAAAUACAAGAAGAGGCCUACCACUUAAAUCAGUGCAAGGAAAAUAUAUUUCAUUUGUACAUGACACUUUGUUGCAGAAAUUAGCCUACUUCUUGGAAACUGAAGCACACAGUGAGAUCUAAGUCUUUAUUUCUAUAUUACUAACGGAAUGAAAAUGCCCUUUUGCUCAAACGCUGAAAACUCCAAUGUAUAAAAUAGGUUCUUUGCAAUCCAACGUCAUUUUAUGUUUUCA